UAACACAUGCAAGUCGAACGGUAACGAAGCUAGCUUGCUAGCAGGCGACGAGUGGCGGACGGGUGAGUAACGCGUGGGAAUCUACCUAGUAGUGGGGGAUAGCCAGAAGAAAUUCUGAAUAAUACCGCAUACGCCCUACGGGGGAAAGAAGGCCUCUACUUGUAAGCUUUCACUAUUAGAUGAGCCCGCGUUAGAUUAGCUUGUUGGUGAGGUAAAAGCUCACCAAGGCAACGAUCUAUAGUUGGUCUGAGAGGAUGACCAGCCACAUUGGGACUGAGACACGGCCCAGACUCCUACGGGAGGCAGCAGUGGGGAAUAUUGGACAAUGGGCGCAAGCCUGAUCCAGCAAUACCGCGUGUGUGAAGAAGGCCUUAGGGUUGUAAAGCACUUUUAUGAGUGAAGAAGGGUUAGUAGUUAAUAACUGCUAGCAUUGACGGUAACUCACGAAUAAGCACCGGCUAACUCCGUGCCAGCAGCCGCGGUAAUACGGAGGGUGCAAGCGUUAAUCGGAAUUACUGGGCGUAAGGGUACGUAGGCUGUUAAAUAAGUUGGAUGUGAAAUCCCUGGGCUCAACCUAGGAACUGCAUCCAAAACUGUUUAGCUAGAGUGUAUAAGAGGUUAGCGGAAUUCCAGGUGUAGCAGUGAAAUGCGUAGAUAUCUGGAGGAACAUCAGUGGCGAAGGCGGCUAACUGAUAUAACACUGACGCUGAGGUACGAAAGCGUGGGGAGCGAACGGGAUUAGAUACCCCGGUAGUCCACGCCCUAAACGAUGAGAACUAGCUGUUGGUUGCGUAAAUGCAGUCAGUAGCGAAGCUAACGCGUUAAGUUCUCCGCCUGGGGAGUACGACCGCAAGGUUGAAACUCAAAGGAAUUGACGGGGGCCCGCACAAGCGGUGGAGCAUGUGGUUUAAUUCGAUGCAACGCGAAGAACCUUACCAUCCCUUGACAUACCUGAGAAUUUCUCGUAAUGAGGAAGUGCCUUCGGGAACUCAGUGACAGGUGCUGCACGGCUGUCGUCAGCUCGUGUCGUGAGAUGUUGGGUUAAGUCCCGCAACGAGCGCAACCCCUAUCUUUAGUUGCCAGCACGUAAUGGUGGGAACUCUAGAGAGACUGCCGGUGAUAAGCCGGAGGAAGGUGGGGACGACGUCAAGUCAUCAUGGCCCUUACGGGAUGGGCUACACACGUGCUACAAUGGUGCAUACAGAGGGUUGCCAACCAGCGAUGGGGAGCCAAUCCUAGAAAGUGCGUCUUAGUCCGGAUCGCAGUCUGCAACUCGACUGCGUGAAGUUGGAAUCGCUAGUAAUCGCGAAUCAGCAACGUCGCGGUGAAUACGUUCCCGGGCCUUGUACACACCGCCCGUCACACCAUGGGAGUGGGUUGCACCAGAAGUAGCUAGACUAACCUUCGGGAGGUCGGUUACCACGGUGUGGUUCAUGACUGGGGUG
rnacentral:rRNA from 1 species